GCUGCAACUCUCUACUUCCGGCUCCUGCAUAUGAUCACUCAAGUAAUGCAUUUUAUGAAGAACUUUCUUUCAUUUUGUCACCGGGUUGGGUCUGAGGAGGUCCCUGAAGCUGAGUUAUAAAACCUGUGGUAUGGUACAAUGGAAAGCUGGCCAGACGUGAUUUGGGCCACCCACCCAGAAAAGGUGGGGCAAGCUAUGUGACAUACCCAGGAAAUGGAAACUAAGUGUGGAGCUCACUUGUCUCUCUCCAUCCUGUGCCUGCACAGGGUAAGAGAAUAUCCAUGGAGAAACACUCAUGUUAUGUGGUGGAGAGUUCCGGAGACUGAUAAUACCAAUGCUGUCAUUAAAUUUAGCCAAGUCCUUGAUGUGAGAAAUUUCAGUUCAUUGUUGAUGACACAGAUUGCAGAAACAUAUGGAAGCAAUUAGAGGAAAGUAAAUGGAGACAGUGGGUGCAGGCUGCAUAUUUGUAGAGCUUGACUAGAUAAAAGGAAUAAUGUAGGAUGAGAUCUAAAAGCGGCGACCGGGACUCCGGUAUCUUCUUUCAUUCUUAAGGAAAUUUGAGCAUGAAAGAAAUCCAAAAGAGAAGACAAAAUUGAUGAUUCUCUGGUGGAGGUGUGGGAGUGGGGAGAAUAUGAGUGAGAACAGUAUCUCAUUAUGAGCAAAUAGAAGGUUAUGUUGCAGAGGCCAAGGGGUUAGAUUUCCAGAUAAGAGGAUUCCUCCUGUGCUGAGAUUAGCAGGAAGGAAGUUCUGAUAGCUGUAGAGGGUCAUCAGGAGACAGCAGCUGUGGCGUGAGCAGCCUAAUGUGUGCAGGCCGGAAGCCCUGGAUUGGAAAACACAAAUCCAAUGCUGGCUCAUCUAGCAUUAGAGGUAGGACCUGGGGCAUGCCCAACAUUCACUUGGCAACUUACAGCCUUGCUGGGCUUGUCUCCUCUCAUCAGUGUAGAGGGCAUGCAUUCCAUAUAAUGGGAAAAAUAUAUAUAAAAUAAGAGAAAACCCCUUGAAAAAGUUGUAGUAUUCUUAUAAGUAGAGAGUGAUUCUUUUUUUUUUUUUUAAUCC
rnacentral:lncRNA from 1 species